AGGAGAUCGACUCCAACAGGGAGGAGCUGAAGGAUCUGCUGUCCAAUCAGACCUACCGCCUGGGACACAGCACCACCUCAGGCUGUUCCGUUGAUGAGGACCACCUACUGAGCGCCUGGUCCCGCCUCAAGCCCCCCCCACCCUCUCCUGCCUCCAAACCCCUGAUCCAAUCAAAACCUGCAUCCCGGCAGGCGAGCAAGCAGGACGAAGAGGAAGUCACCUGUGAGGCAGCAGGAAAUGGAAAGGAAUGUGACACUGUUGGCCAGAGCCAGGUGUCAAUCAAGCAGCCAACGGCAGCACUGAACAGAAUGGGCUCAAGUGGGAUCCAGUCUGAGCCCGCCGGCCCACCACCGACGGAGACGGAGAGCAGCGUUCAAGAACUUCAGGACUCCCUGCUGGCACUCUCCCAGCCCGACAGGUCCAGUGACUCGGACUGCUGUAUCGAAGAUCAGCCGGAGAACACAGGCAAAGCUUUAUCUCCAGGUGACACGCUGACGACCUCAGCCUCCCCGGCCCAGACAGACCAUAAUACUCAACGGCUGGCCCACAAGUGCCCUCAGUGUGGACAAUGUUUCAUAUAUCGCUCUGAGGUCAGCCUGCACGUCUGACACACCUCAAUGUCUGUCUCUCUACCCACACACUCUAUGUAUCUUCACUGUACACAACAUGUGUAUUCAAGGGAGCGCAGCGCGGC
ensembl:lncRNA